UACAGAGGUCUCAAGCGUUGUUCGGAUUCAUUGGGCGUAAAGGGUGUGUAGGUGGCGCGCUAAGUCGGGUGUGAAAUUUCGGAGCUUAACUCCGAAACUGCAUUCGAUACUGGCGUGCUUGAGGACUGGAGAGGAGACUGGAAUUUACGGUGUAGCAGUGAAAUGCGUAGAUAUCGUAAGGAAGACCAGUGGCGAAGGCGGGUCUCGUGGACAGUUCCUGGACACUG
rnacentral:rRNA from 1 species